CUACCAAUAACAGAUUUUUUAUGAAUAUUUAUUUCCCAUUUUUCUUGCUUUAUUGGCUACCAGACCUGGAGUUUCACAGAGUUUGCUCAUUAGGUUUCCCCCAUCAACGCUGGAAACAGGAAUGAGAAUAAAGGGAUUUUUAACCUUUUACAUCUCCAGGGGGGCGCAUGGGGAACACAUUCUCCUUUAACCCCUUAAGGACCAAACUUCUGGAAUAAAAGCGAAUCAUGACAUGUCACACAUAUCAUAUGUCCUUAACCCUUUAAGGACCAAACUUCUGGCAUAAAAGGGAAUCAUAACAUGUCAUGUGUCCAUAAGGGGUUAAGUGAACCUUACUAAGACUGUUGGUAGAUUGCAAGCUCAUUUGAGCAGGGCUCUCUUCACCUAUUGUUCCUGUUUAUCAAAUAUGUUCUGUUAGAAUUAAAUGUUUGUCUUGUUUCCUAUUGUACAGUGCUACAGAAUAUGUUGGCUAUAUAAAUCAUUGUAACUGUGAGUCAUUUCCUAGUCAGCAGAGCACACAGCAGAUACUAAAAAGCCUGGGAAUUUGCUGUACAUAUAAGAAUUAAUCUUAUUUUAAAAGUUUUGGCUUUUAAAAAAAAUAAAUGUAUUAUUGUUU